UGAGUACAAAAACCAUGAACCUCAAUACCCCGUCUGGUAUGAGGGUGAAACGGGUUGUUCCCAUACCUUGUCCGGUAUGGGCGCCAAAACCAUAAACCUCAAUACCCCGUCCGGUAUAAGGAUGAAACGGGCCGUCCCUAUACCUCGUCUGGUAUGGGCGCCAAAACACAUAAGGUUUCCAUACCCCGUCCGAUAUGAGAGACCACAUUCCCGGUAGGGUUUCCUACGGACCCGAUUCAUCCACUAUCUCCCAGGAUAUCUAGUCAGACUGUCCACAUUAUCUAUUUAUCAAUUCACAUCACCUUUUUCCUAUUUUCCUUGGUCUCAAUUAU
rnacentral:lncRNA from 1 species